AGAAAACUGCUGGCGUGAGCAAAACAUGGAACUGGUGAGGUCAUCCCCUCCUUGUUCCUCCUCUGACCUCCUCUCUGCUCUGAGCUCGUGGCCAUCGUGCCACAGCUAUGCCAUGCUUUGAUUCAUGGCCAUCGAGCCAUUGGUGUUCCAGGGUUAGGGUUUGUUACUGUUUGAGAUCUACUGUUCAAGAUUAAUUGGCUUGUGCUAAGUGUUAGUUGUUGCGUGCUAGGGCCUCUGGAUACUACACUUGUCCAUUCUUCUGUUCCAGGUCAAUUCUCUAAGAAAUUCCCAAUUUCUAGGGUUACUGUUCCUCUCUGCCUGAAUCGACUGUGAGGUUUUUUAUCGGUGCUCUGCUCUAUGCUCUAGCCUAGUGUCUAUUCUAGUCGUGAAACCAAACUAGCUAGGCUGGCCUGAUGAGGUCCUGUAUGAGGCUUUGCUUCUGAUACAUGUCAUAUUCGGUCCUGUAUGAUGCGUGUGUGGUUGUUGCUCACGGACUAGCUAAGGUGGUUGUUUUUCCACUGAUGGGAUGGUGUUUGAGUUUGUACCUCAUCUAGCUCACUGUUAUUACUACAUAAAACUUCUACUGGAUAGACAUUCAUUGUUUGCUUAGUGUUCCCGUUGUUGGAAUUAACCGGAUGCACAAAAUGUGUCGACUACAUUUGCCAAAAGUUUGCUGCUACCUUGCUAAUAUAAUAUUUUGCUGAAAAUGUGGCAACUUUCUAUGGCAAAGGGUUCCCUAGAUGGCUAGAUAAUUAUUAAUGUCGUUUUCUUCUAUAGAUAAUUUUGGUCGAUCUGCACAUACAUCAUGCUGUUUUUGAAUCCGCACUUUUGGUUGCUCCAUGAAGUAGUUGGAAUUGCUCUGCAUAUGUCCAUCUAAUAUGAACUGGACUGUAUAUCUGUGCCAAUGCCAUUGCCAUUGCAUUACUAAAAGUCCAAAGAUAAUUAAUCCGCACUUUAUGUGGACAUCUUUAAGCUAAAUACCAACCUUCUUAUGGACCUGAUGAAGUUUGAGGGUUUAUUAACUAAGGACCUCUUUUUUCUUCUUUAAAAUGGCAUGAUUUUUAUUAUACACCGUGCUCUAGUUUGAUUGUACACUGCACACUUGUCUUUCUGUUGCUACUGUGUUUUCGUUUAUCAACUGCUAAUAAUGCUGAUUUAACCUUUCGUAUAAAUAUUGCAAAGUUAUAGCAUUAAAUUGCUACAUAGUUGUGCCAAUUACACUACUUCCACGAUAGGAACAAAUCAACAGUUAAGUGUUGCUUCGGAGAACACACAAAGUCAUUUACCAUCUGAAAGUGCCUUGGGAAACGAAGUACCAAAAUACCGUAAGUGAUGCGUACACACACAAGGUGAUGAGCGGAUAUACAAAUAUAACAGUUACAGAGAUCUUUCCAUUGCAUGAUGAGUAAAAAUGAGAGGAAAAGAUGCUUAAAUAAUUUAUGGUAGGACCUUAUUUUGAAAGGUCAUGCUGAGUUGUCGAAUCCUUUUGUUCUCUGCAGCAUCUGUGUUUAUCAAAGCGAAAGAAGCUUGCUGCUGGCAUUGCUGGAGGGAUACUGGAGAUGGUCGGCAAUCAGCCGACUUUGCUGGAAUUUUGAUCUUCCACAGGGUGGAGCAAUCCCAGACGAGAAAACUGCAGGUGUGAGCAAAACAUGGAACCAGUGAGGUCAUCCUCUCCUUGUUCCUCCUCUGGCCUCUGAGCUCGUGGCAAUCGUCCCACUGCUAUACCAUGCUCUGAUUCAUGGCCAUCGAGCCAUUGGUGUUCCAGGGUUAGGGUUUUGGUACUGUUUGAGAUCUACUGUUCAAGGUUAAUUGGCUUGUGCCAAGUGUUAGUUGCUGCUUGCUACGGCCUCUGGAUACUGCAAUUGGCCGUUUUUCUGUGCUAAGUCAAUUUUCUAAAAAAAAAUCCCAAUUUGUAGGGUUACUGUUCCUCUGCUAUGUUUAACUGGAUGUGAUGGUUAUGUUCAUCUAUGUUGAUGCCUGAAUUUGGUAAUUGGGACUGUUACUUAGCCUUGCUAAAUAAUCCUUCCUACUGUCUAAUUGGACUAGAUGAAGAUAUUUGAUCCUUUUACCAACGCAUGAGCAGUGUUGGUGCUGUGGAAUUUGUUAUUUCUUAGUCAAUGAUGGGUUCGAGAACAUAGAUUUCGUUUUUAAAUUCUAGUUUGGUGAAGUGUGAGUGGUGCAUAAUGUUUAUCGACCCU
rnacentral:lncRNA from 1 species